GAGGGGUGGUUAAAACAACAGGAACUGCUAACUCCUGCAUCUGAGCAUAAAACCUCAGCCCCCUUA
rnacentral:tRNA from 1 species